GCAGGCGGUUUCUUAAGUCUGAUGUGAAAGCCCCCCGGCUCAACCGGGGAGGGUCAUUGGAAACUGGGGAACUUGAGUGCAGAAGAGGAGAGUGGAAUUCCACGUGUAGCGGUGAAAUGCGUAGAGAUGUGGAGGAACACCAGUGGCGAAGGCGACUCUCUGGUCUGUAACUGACGCUGAGGAGCGAAAGCGUGGGGAGCGAACAGGAUUAGAUACCCUGGUAGUCCACGCCGUAAACGAUGAGUGCUAAGUGUUAGGGGGUUUCCGCCCCUUAGUGCUGCAGCUAACGCAUUAAGCACUCCGCCUGGGGAGUACGGUCGCAAGACUGAAACUCAAAGGAAUUGACGGGGGCCCGCACAAGCGGUGGAGCAUGUGGUUUAAUUCGAAGCAACGCGAAGAACCUUACCAGGUCUUGACAUCCUCUGACAAUCCUAGAGAUAGGACGUCCCCUUCGGGGGCAGAGUGACAGGUGGUGCAUGGUUGUCGUCAGCUCGUGUCGUGAGAUGUUGGGUUAAGUCCCGCAACGAGCGCAACCCUUGAUCUUAGUUGCCAGCAUUCAGUUGGGCACUCUAAGGUGACUGCCGGUGACAAACCGGAGGAAGGUGGGGAUGACGUCAAAUCAUCAUGCCCCUUAUGACCUGGGCUACACACGUGCUACAAUGGACAGAACAAAGGGCAGCGAAACCGCGAGGUUAAGCCAAUCCCACAAAUCUGUUCUCAGUUCGGAUCGCAGUCUGCAACUCGACUGCGUGAAGCUGGAAUCGCUAGUAAUCGCGGAUCAGCA
rnacentral:rRNA from 1 species